rnacentral:pre_miRNA from 1 species
AGGCAUCUGCUGACAUGGGGGCCGAAGUCAGGCGCCAGGCAGCAGACACUCUGCAUCUUAUCUCUAGAAUAUAGAUCCUCCUUGACAGCCUUGGGUGUCAG